rnacentral:rRNA from 1 species
CUGCGGUGCAUUAGCUGGUUGGUAAGGUAACGGCUUACCAAGGCGAUGAUGCAUAGCCGAGUUGAGAGACUGAUCGGCCACAAUGGAACUGAGACACGGUCCAUACUCCUACGGGAGGCAGCAGUAGGGAAUCUUCCACAAUGGGCGCAAGCCUGAUGGAGCAACACCGCGUGAGCGAAGAAGGGUUUCGGCUCGUAAAGCUCUGUUGUUGGAGAAGAACGUGCGUGAGAGCAACUGUUCACGCAGUGACGGUAUCCAACCAGAAAGUCACGGCUAACUACGUGCCAGCAGCCGCGGUAAUACGUAGGUGGCAAGCGUUAUCCGGAUUUAUUGGGCGUAAAGCGAGCGCAGGCGGUUGCUUAGGUCUGAUGUGAAAGCCUUCGGCUUAACCGAAGAAGUGCAUCGGAAACCGGGCGACUUGAGUGCAGAAGAGGACAGUGGAACUCCAUGUGUAGCGGUGGAAUGCGUAGAUAUAUGGAAGAACACCAGUGGCGAAGGCGGCUGUCUGGUCUGCAACUGACGCUGAGGCUCGAAAGCAUGGGUAGCGAACAGGAUUAGAUACCCUGGUAGUCCAUGCCGUAAACGAUGAGUGCUAGGUGUUGGAGGGUUUCCGCCCUUCAGUGCCGGAGCUAACGC